UCAAGGACCCUGAGGCCAGUGUGCAAGAGGCGGCCAUCAGGUUCAUCGGGGUGGCCACGCGGCACCUGAGGAACCGAAGCAAAGAGCAACUGGAUGAGAUCUGCAGCGCCCUUCAGCCCUUGAAGACAGACAGCAGUGAAGUCGUCUCUUGCCUGGCAGAACAGACCAUCCACAUCCUGGAGGCUUUAGGAC